AUUGAACGCUAGCGGCAUGCUUAACACAUGCAAGUCGAGCGGAAACGAUGGAAGCUUGCUUCCAGGCGUCGAGCGGCGGACGGGUGAGUAACGCGUAGGAAUCUACCUUAUAGUGGGGGAUAACCCGGGGAAACUCGGGCUAAUACCGCAUAAUCUCUAAGGAGCAAAGCGGGGGAUCUUCGGACCUCGUGCUAAAAGAUGAGCCUGCGUUGGAUUAGCUUGUUGGUGGGGUAAAGGCCUACCAAGGCGACGAUCCAUAGCUGGUCUGAGAGGACGAUCAGCCACACUGGGACUGAGACACGGCCCAGACUCCUACGGAGGCAGCAGUGGGGAAUAUUGGACAAUGGGGGCAACCCUGAUCCAGCAAUGCCGCGUGUGUGAAGAAGGCCUUCGGGUGUAAGCACUUUCAGUGGGAAGAAGGCCAAGAUUAAUACUCUUGGGAGUUGACGUUACCCACAGAAGAAGCACUGGCUAACUCUGUGCCAGCCGCCGC
rnacentral:rRNA from 1 species